UUGAAUUGAAGAGUUUGAUCAUGGCUCAGAUUGAACGCUGGCGGCAGGCGUAACACAUGCAAGUCGAACGGUAGCAGGAGAAAGCUUGCUUUCUUGCUGACGAGUGGCGGACGGGUGAGU
rnacentral:rRNA from 1 species